GACGAACGCUGGCGGCGUGCUUAACACAUGCAGGUCGAACGGUAAGGCCCUUCGGGGUACACGAGUGGCGAACGGGUGAGUAACACGUGGGUGAUCUGCCCUGCACUUCGGGAUAAGCCUGGGAAACUGGGUCUAAUACCGGAUAGGACUCCUGGCUUCAUGGUUGGGGGUGGAAAGCUUUUGCGGUGUGGGAUGGGCCCGCGGCCUAUCAGCUUGUUGGUGGGGUAAUGGCCUACCAAGGCGACGACGGGUAGCCGGCCUGAGAGGGUGACCGGCCACACUGGGACUGAGAUACGGCCCAGACUCCUACGGGAGGCAGCAGUGGGGAAUAUUGCACAAUGGGCGCAAGCCUGAUGCAGCGACGCCGCGUGAGGGAUGACGGCCUUCGGGUUGUAAACCUCUUUCAGCGCCGACGAAGCGCAAGUGACGGUAGGUGCAGAAGAAGGACCGGCCAACUACGUGCCAGCAGCCGCGGUAA
rnacentral:rRNA from 1 species